CAAAAACAUUGUCUUUAGAUUAAAUAUUAAAGAUAGGUCUGCCCAGUGAAUGAGACAAUAGUCAUAAAGUUUAAACGGCCGCGGUAUUCCUGACCGUGCUAAGGUAGCACAAUCACGUGCCUCUUAAUUAGAGGAUAGAAUGAAUGAAUUAACAAGAAAUAUACUGUCUCUUUUUUGUAUAUUGAAAUUUAGAUCUAAGUGCAAACUCUUAGAUUUCUAAUAAAGACAGAAAGACCCUAUAAGCUUUUAUUCUAAUAUUCUAUAAAUAAAAAAAUAUUUAAUUGGGGCGAUUUUAAGUAAAAAACACUUAUUACACAUAGAGAAAUAUCUCAUUCAAUCUAUCCAAUAGCAUAUAAGUAAGUUACUAUAGGGAUAACAGGCUAAUACUUCUCAAGAGCACAUAUCAACAGAAGUGCUUAGCACCUCGAUGUUGGCUUAAG
rnacentral:rRNA from 1 species